AUGUCUGGGAAACUGCCUGAUGGAGGGGGAUAACUACUGGAAACGGUAGCUAAUACCGCAUAAUGUCGCAAGACCAAAGAGGGGGACCUUCGGGCCUCUUGCCAUCAGAUGUGCCCAGAUGGGAUUAGCUAGUAGGUGGGGUAACGGCUCACCUAGGCGACGAUCCCUAGCUGGUCUGAGAGGAUGACCAGCCACACUGGAACUGAGACACGGUCCAGACUCCUACGGGAGGCAGCAGUGGGGAAUAUUGCACAAUGGGCGCAAGCCUGAUGCAGCCAUGCCGCGUGUAUGAAGAAGGCCUUCGGGUUGUAAAGUACUUUCAGCGGGGAGGAAGGUGUUGUGGUUAAUAACCACAGCAAUUGACGUUACCCGCAGAAGAAGCACCGGCUAACUCCGUGCCAGCAGCCGCGGUAAUACGGAGGGUGCAAGCGUUAAUCGGAAUUACUGGGCGUAAAGCGCACGCAGGCGGUCUGUCAAGUCGGAUGUGAAAUCCCCGGGCUCAACCUGGGAACUGCAUUCGAAACUGGCAGGCUAGAGUCUUGUAGAGGGGGGUAGAAUUCCAGGUGUAGCGGUGAAAUGCGUAGAGAUCUGGAGGAAUACCGGUGGCGAAGGCGGC
rnacentral:rRNA from 1 species